GCAUUGGAACACUGGUUCACAUGUGAUCACCAAAGUUAAGCAAAAUCGAACUUGUUCAGUACCUAAAUGGGUAACUGCUUGGGAGUAUCUGGUGCUGCAAGC